GGUAUUAUAUUUUAAAAAGAAAAUUUAAUUUGCAAUUAAAAAGUAAUAGUAUCUCUAUUUUAUACCA
rnacentral:tRNA from 1 species